rnacentral:lncRNA from 1 species
CUCCCACGGCUUUCGGACACAGUCUCCCGAGGACAACCUGGGCAGGUCGCUGACUGAUCUCUCCAUCUGUUCCCGCCGCCGCCGGGCGUAUUUUGACCCACCUUCCCUGUCGUCUCCCCAGAGCCAUCGGCCAACUGGCGCUCGUCCUGGACAGAUUCAAGGCCAAAAUAAGAUCGUAUACAUCAAAGAAAGGCUCCGAGAUCCUGUCCGCCGCCAGGGAAGGCGUCCGCCUUCGGCUGCGAGAGGUCGAGAACCUGAUUCAGGCGGACGCGUAAGCGUUCUCUCUCUUUCUAUCCACACGCAUGCACCACGGUCUUCUGCUUUUCAUUCGAACCGUGGGGAAGUUGACCAUCUCCCCC